AGAGUUUGAUUCUGGCUCAGAACGAACGCUGGCAGCGUGGAUUAGGCAUGCAAGUUGAACGAGAAACUGCGUUUUCAAUCUUCGGAAAGAACACGUGGUGGACAGUGGCGGAAGGGUGAGUAACGCGUGGGUAACCUGCCCUCAAGUUGGGGACAACUCGCCGAAAGGCGAGCUAAUACCGGAUGUGGUCGCUCUGUUAAUCGGAGAUGACUAAAGAUGGGGAUCCUUCGGGACCUGUCGCUUGGGGAUGGACCCGCGUACCAUCAGCUAGUUGGUGAGGUAACGGCCCACCAAGGCUUUGACGGUUAGCUGGUCUGAGAGGAUGGUCAGCCACACUGGGACUGAGACACUGCCCAGACUCCUACGGGAGGCUGCAGUCGAGGAUCAUUGUCAAUGCGCGAAAGCGUGAACAUGCGACGCUGCGUGGAGGAUGAAGGCCUUCGGGUCGUAAACUCCUGUCAUGAGGGACAAACCGUUCUUCCCUGAAUAGGGGCGGAACCUGAUGGUACCUCAAGAGGAAGCCACGGCUAACUCUGUGCCAGCAGCCGCGGUAAUACAGAGGUGGCGAGCGUUGUUCGGAUUCACUGGGCGUAAAGCGUGCGUAGGUGGUUUGUUAUGUCGGAUGUGAAAGCCCGUGGCUCAACUGCGGAACUGCAUUCGAAACUGACAGACUAGAGUGCAGGAGGGGAGAGCGGAAUUCUUGGUGUAGCGGUGAAAUGCGUUGAUAUCAAGAAGAACACCGGUGGCGAAGGCGGCUCUCUAGAAUGCUACUGACACUGAGGCACGAAAGCUAGGGGAGCAAACAGGAUUAGAUACCCUGGUAGUCCUAGCUGUAAACGGUGCACACUUGGUGUUGGGGGUGUUGACCCCCCCAGUGCCGGAGCAAACGCGUUAAGUGUGCCGCCUGGGGAGUACGGCCGCAAGGUUAAAACUCAAAGAAAUUGACGGGGGCCCGCACAAGCGGAGGAGCAUGUGGCUUAAUUCGAUGCAACGCGAAGAACCUUACCAGGGCUUGACAUGCAGCUGCACGCCCCGUGAAAGCGGGGAAGCCUUCGAGGGUGCUGCACAGGUGCUGCAUGGCUGUCGUCAGUUCGUGCCGUGAGGUGUUGGGUUAAGUCCCGCAACGAACGCAACCCUUGUGUCUAGUUGCCACCGCAGGUGAUGAGCCUGCGAGCACUUUAGACAGACUGCCCGUACAAGCGGGAGGAAGGUGGGGACGACGUCAAGUCAGUAUGGCCCUUACGCCCUGGGCUGCACACGUGCUACAAUGGCCGGUACAGAGGGACGCAAGACCGCGAGGUGGAGCAAAUCCCCAAAACCGGCCCCAGUUCGGAUUGGAGUCUGCAACUCGACUCCAUGAAGUUGGAUUCGCUAGUAACGGCGCAUCAGCUACGGCGCCGUGAAUACGUUCCCGGGCCUUGUACACACCGCCCGUCACAUCAUGAAAGUCGUCUGCACCCGAAGUCGCUGAGCCAACCCGCAAGGGAGGCAGGUGCCGAAGGUGUGGGUGGUGAUUGGGAUGAAGUCGAACAAGGUA
rnacentral:rRNA from 1 species